rnacentral:rRNA from 1 species
AUUUACCGAUCUGCUAGAUUGACGCUGGCGGCAGGCCUAACACAUGCAAGUCGAACGGUAACAGGAAGAAGCUUGCUUCUUUGCUGACGAGUGGCGGACGGGUGAGUAAUGUCUGGGAAACUGCCUGAUGGAGGGGGAUAACUACUGGAAACGGUAGCUAAUACCGCAUAACGUCGCAAGACCAAAGAGGGGGACCUUCGGGCCUCUUGCCAUCGGAUGUGCCCAGAUGGGAUUAGCUAGUAGGUGGGGUAACGGCUCACCUAGGCGACGAUCCCUAGCUGGUCUGAGAGGAUGACCAGCCACACUGGAACUGAGACACGGUCCAGACUCCUACGGGAGGCAGCAGUGGGGAAUAUUGCACAAUGGGCGCAAGCCUGAUGCAGCCAUGCCGCGUGUAUGAAGAAGGCCUUCGGGUUGUAAAGUACUUUCAGCGGGGAGGAAGGGAGUAAAGUUAAUACCUUUGCUCAUUGACGUUACCCGCAGAAGAAGCACCGGCUAACUCCGUGCCAGCAGCCGCGGUAAUACGGAGGGUGCAAGCGUUAAUCGGAAUUACUGGGCGUAAAGCGCACGCAGGCGGUUUGUUAAGUCAGAUGUGAAAUCCCCGGGCUCAACCUGGGAACUGCAUCUGAUACUGGCAAGCUUGAGUCUCGUAGAGGGGGGUAGAAUUCCAGGUGUAGCGGUGAAAUGCGUAGAGAUCUGGAGGAAUACCGGUGGCGAAGGCGGCCCCCUGGACGAAGACUGACGCUCAGGUGCGAAAGCGUGGGGAGCAAACAGGAUUAGAUACCCUGUAGUCCACGCCGUAAACGAUGUCGACUUGGAGGUUGUGCCCUUGAGGCGUGGCUUCCGGAGCUAACGCGUUAAGUCGACCGCCUGGGGAGUACGGCCGCAAGGUUAAAACUCAAAUGAAUUGACGGGGGCCCGCACAAGCGGUGGAGCAUGUGGUUUAAUUCGAUGCAACGCGAAGAACCUUACCUGGUCUUGACAUCCACAGAACUUUCCAGAGAUGGAUUGGUGCCUUCGGGAACUGUGAGACAGGUGCUGCAUGGCUGUCGUCAGCUCGUGUUGUGAAAUGUUGGGUUAAGUCCCGCAACGAGCGCAACCCUUAUCCUUUGUUGCCAGCGGUCCGGCCGGGAACUCAAAGGAGACUGCCAGUGAUAAACUGGAGGAAGGUGGGGAUGACGUCAAGUCAUCAUGGCCCUUACGACCAGGGCUACACACGUGCUACAAUGGCGCAUACAAAGAGAAGCGACCUCGCGAGAGCAAGCGGACCUCAUAAAGUGCGUCGUAGUCCGGAUUGGAGUCUGCAACUCGACUCCAUGAAGUCGGAAUCGCUAGUAAUCGUGGAUCAGAAUGCCACGGUGAAUACGUUCCCGGGCCUUGUACACACCGCCCGUCACACCAUGGGAGUGGGUUGCAAAAGAAGUAGGUAGCUUAACCUUCGGGAGGGCGCUUACCACUUUGUGAUUCAUGACUGGGGGAAGCGAGCAAGACCAAUAUUCACG